rnacentral:rRNA from 1 species
UACGUAGGGUGCGAGCGUUGUCCGGAAUUAUUGGGCGUAAAGAGCUUGUAGGCGGUUUGUCGCGUCUGCUGUGAAAACUCAGGGCUUAACCCUGAGCUUGCAGUGGGUACGGGCAGACUAGAGUGCGGUAGGGGAGACUGGAAUUCCUGGUGUAGCGGUGAAAUGCGCAGAUAUCAGGAGGAACACCGGUGGCGAAGGCGGGGUCUCUGGGCCGUAACUGACGCUGGAGGAGCGGAAAAGCAUCGGGGAGCGAACAGG